rnacentral:rRNA from 1 species
GGCGCGAAAACUUUGCAAUGCCCGAAACCGUGAUAGGGGAACUCCGAGUGCCAGGUUCUUAUUUUGGCUGUUUUGAUGCCUGAAAACCAUUUGAUAGACAUAGGGCCGGGCAACACACUGGCCGGCCCCCCCGCUAACACCACCCGGCUCUCGUGGGAACCCUUAUUAUUUGGUCUCAAGGGUCUGUAUCCCGUCACCUCUAUCUCCUGUGAAAUCUGUCGGCUCUCCUGUCUAGCUUUCGCGAUAUACUGCCUGGCUCUUGGCCACGAGAGAUGAUAGGUACUAUCUUGGGGAUGGGUGAAAUCUUGUUAUCCCUGGAAGACCACCACCUGUGGAAAGCGUCUCAACCCAACGGAUCUGACAGCGAGAGACAAAAGCUCUGGGCACAGAACCGGAUUAUUAUACCCCGCUAUUCCCACCCCUAAACAAUACUCACACUGUGUCGUCCCCCGUGCGACCUCGUGUGGAGCCCUAUGGAAUACGUGAAACGACCCCCCUGUGAAGAACACCCUCACGGCUUAUACUUUUAGGAGUUGUGGGGGGAGAACAC